UAAAAAAUAAAGUAAAUGUUGUUUGUAUAGAUAUAUACAUAGUAUACAUGAUUACUAUAGCCAGUCAUUAAAAAAUAAAGUAAAAUGUUGUUUGUAUAGAUAUAUACAUAGUAUACAUGAUUACUAUAAGCCAGUCAUUAAAAAUAAGUAAUGUUUUUGUAUAGAAUGUACAUAGUAUAACAUGAUUACUAUAGCCAGUCAUUAAUAAUAAUAAGUAAAUUGUAUAGAUAUAUACAUAGUAUACAUGAUUGCUAUAGCCAGUCAUUAAAAAAUAGUAUAUUUGUAUAGAUAUAUACAUAGUACACAUAUUUCUAUAGCCAGUCAUAAAAAAUAAAGGAAAAUGUUGUUUGUAUAGAUAUAUACAUAGUAUACAUGAUUGCUAUAGCCAGUCAUUAAAAAAUAAAGUAAAAUGUUGUUUGUAUAACAACACAGAAUUGUCAUUAUAUAUUUAGAAAACUGCUGGGGUAUAUACGACAU
rnacentral:lncRNA from 1 species